rnacentral:rRNA from 1 species
AUUGAACGCUGGCGGCAGGCCUAACACAUGCAAGUCGAACGAGUGGCGGACGGGUGAGUAAUGUCUGGGAACCUGCCUUAUGGAGGGGGAUAACUACUGUAAACGGUAGCUAAUACCGCAUACCAUCGGAUGUGCCCAGAUGGGAUUAGCUAGUAGGUGGGGUAAAGGCUCACCAAGGCGACGAUCCCUAGCUGGUCUGAGAGGAUGACCAGCAACACGGGAACGGAGACACGGUCCAGACUCCUACGGGAGGCAGCAGUGGGGAAUAUUGCAAAAUGGGCGCAAGCCUGAUGCAGCCAUGCCGCGUGUAUGAAGAAGGCCUUCGGGUUGUAAAGUACUUUCAGCGGGGAGGCGUUACCCGCAGAAGAAGCACCGGCUAACUCCGUGCCAGCAGCCGCGGUAAUUC